rnacentral:rRNA from 1 species
GAUGAACGCUGGCGGCGUGCCUAAUACAUGCAAGUCGAGCGAACAGACGAGGAGCUUGCUCCUCUUACGUUAGCGGCGGACGGGUGAGUAACACGUGGAUAACCUACCUAUAAGACUUGGAUAACUUCGGGAAACCGGAGCUAAUACCGGAUAAUAUAUUGAACCGCAUGGUUCAAUAGUGAAAGACGGUUUUGCUGUCACUUAUAGAUGGAUCCGCGCCGCAUUAGCUAGUUGGUAAGGUAACGGCUUACCAAGGCAACGAUGCGUAGCCGACCUGAGAGGGUGAUCGGCCACACUGGAACUGAGACACGGUCCAGACUCCUACGGGAGGCAGCAGUAGGGAAUCUUCCGCAAUGGGCGAAAGCCUGACGGAGCAACGCCGCGUGAGUGAUGAAGGUCUUCGGAUCGUAAAACUCUGUUAUUAGGGAAGAACAAAUGUGUAAGUAACUAUGCACGUCUUGACGGUACCUAAUCAGAAAGCCACGGCUAACUACGUG